UACAGAGGGGGCGAGCGUUGUUCGGAAUUACUGGGCGUAAAGGGCGCGUAGGCGGCCCGCUAAGUCGAACGUGAAAUCCCCAGGCUCAACCUGGGAACUGCGUCCGAUACUGGCAGGCUUGAAUCCGGGAGAGGGAUGUGGAAUUCCAGGUGUAGCGGUGAAAUGCGUAGAUAUCUGGAGGAACACCGGUGGCGAAAGCGGCUUACUGGGUCUCUUCUGACGCUGAGGAACGAAAGCUAGGGUAGCGAACGGG
rnacentral:rRNA from 1 species